rnacentral:rRNA from 1 species
AAUUCGCCCUUGAGCACGUAGGUGGGUUUGUAAGUCAGAUGUGAAAGCCUUCUGUUCAACGGAAGAAUUGCAUCUGAAACUGCGAGUCUUGAGUGUAGGAGGGGAGAAUGGAACUUCUGGUGGAGCGGUGAAAUGCGUAGAUAUCAGAAGGAACGCCGGCGGCGAAAGCGAUUCUCUGGCCUAUUACUGACACUCAGUGUGCGAAAGCUAGGGGAGCAAACGGGAUUAGAUACCCCGGUAGUCCUAGCUGUAAACGAUGGGCACUAAGUAGAGGGAAUUACCGAUGUUCUCUCUGCCGUAGCUAACGCAUUAAGUGCCCCGCCUGGGGAGUACGGCCGCAAGGCUAAAACUCAAAAGAAUUGACGGGGGCUCGCACAAGCGGUGGAGCAUGUGGCUUAAUUCGAUGCAACGCGAAGAACCUUACCGGGGCUUGACAUGGUAGAAGUAGGAACCCGAAAGGGUAACGAACGGUAUCCAGUCCGUAGCUAUUACAGGUGUUGCAUGGCUGUCGUCAGCUCGUGUCGUGAGACGUUGGGUUAAGUCCCCUAACGAGCGAAACCCCUGUUUUUAGUUGCCAGCGGGUUAUGCCGGGCACUCUAGAAAGACUGCCGUCGUCAAGACGGAGGAAGGUGGGGAUGACGUCAAGUCAUCAUGGCCCUUAUGCCCCGGGCUGCACACGUGCUACAAUGGUCGGUACAAACGGAAGCGAAGCCGAGAGGUGAAGCGAAUCCAAGGGCGAAUU